rnacentral:rRNA from 1 species
CAGCCGCCGCGGUAAUACGAACCGUGCGAACGUUAUUCGGAAUCACUGGGCUUAAAGCGCGUGUAGGCGGGCCGCCACGUCGGCUGCUGAAAUCCCCCGGCUCAACCGGGGAACGGGCACCGAUACGAGCGGCCUCGAGGGGGGUAGGGGGGUCUGGAACUUCCGGUGGAGCGGUGAAAUGCGUUGAGAUCGGAAGGAACGCCCGUGGCGAAAGCGAGGCCCUGGACCCUUUCUGACGCUGAGACGCGAAAGCCAGGGGAGCGAACGGGAUUAGAGACCCCGGUAGUCCCUGUCUCUUAUA